CAAUAGAUCCACUUUAAUAUGCUAUAUACAUGCAAACUGUGUUUGUUACUAUUUAAUACAACACCCCCUUAUUAAUUAGAUAUCAAAGUACUUACUUUAUUCCAAUAGCGUUUGGCAUAUCCUGACUUAUUCUGUGGAACAACUCAUUGUCCCAGUAGAACGGGCUCUUUUCAGCCAAUAUGCCAUUGGUCAGCCAGUAGGAGUCUGCUAUUAUGUAAGUUCAGUGUCAAUAUGAUUUCAGCUAUAUAGGGGUAAAGUUCAAUUUUUUUAUUUCAAUACUGUGGGCUCUAGCUUGGCUUUAGCACAUACCUUUCUGGUAUAUACACUCUAAAUGGAACCGGCUGAAAACUAAAAAAUACAAAACGUUCCCAUACUCAAUUAUUUACUCAACUAAAAUUCCUCACCGGGGCAGACCAAGCUAAACCAAGAACGUUAUCUAAUUAUCUAAGAACGUAAUCUAACUCUUCUCCUGAUAACACUUAAACGGCACAUUGCCACUUCUACAUGUCCGCAAAACCGAAAAUAUCUUCUAUUCCAGAAACUAGUGGCACAAUGAUUUGAAAGCUGCCCGGUCUGCAUCGGAUACUUGGGACUCAAAAGGAAUUGCAUAUCCCUACAUUUUACUAUUUUCACAGCAAUGACGAAAUGUGUCCAACUGGGGAAAAAUAACACCAAAACACAUUCAAAACAAACCAAAUCCCUCUCGAAAGCACCAGACAUAUGCUCAGAAGAAGUCUCUUCAGCAAAGCCAAGUCCCACCACAUCUAACGCCUUAUUCACAACAGACCUCCCUAAUAACAACGCCGCUUCUAUAGCAGACAACAUAACCACCUCACUCUGGCCUAAAUUGUAGGCAAAGUUUGACAUCGUACAGGACACCAUAGGCGACCUUGUCAUAUAAAGUGGCUACUAACUCCUGUGGACUUGAUAGCCUUGAAAACAGGCA